CGGGGGGAGCAAGCGUUGUUCGGAUUUACUGGGCGUAAAGGGCGCGUAGGCGGCCACCGCAAGUCGGCUGUGAAAUCUCCGGGCUUAACCCGGAAAGGUCAGCCGAUACUGCGGGGCUAGAGUGCAGAAGGGGCAACUGGAAUUCUCGGUGUAGCGGUGAAAUGCGUAGAUAUCGAGAGGAACACCUGCGGCGAAGGCGGGUUGCUGGGCUGACACUGACGCUGAGGCGCGAAAGCUAGGGGAGCGAACGGGAUUAGAUACCCCGGUAGUCCUAGCCUUAAACGAUGAAUGCUUGGUGCCUGGGGUUUUAUAGUCCCCGGGUGCCGUCGCUAACGCUUUAAGCAUUCCGCCUGGGGAGUACGGUCGCAAGACUG
rnacentral:rRNA from 1 species